GAAAUGCGAUAAGUAGUGUGAAUUGCAGAAUUCAGUGAAUCAUCGAAUCUUUGAACGCACAUUGCGCCCCUUGGUAUUCCAUGGGGCAUGUCUGUUCGAGCGUCAUUUGUACCCUCAAGCUCUGCUUGGUGUUGGGUGUUUGUCCCCGUCUCCGCGCGUGGACUCGCCCCAAAGUGAUUGGCAGCCGGCGUACUGGUCCCGGAGCGCAGCACAUGUCGCGCAAACGAGUGCCUUGGUACGGCGGCGUCCAUAAGCCCCUCUCUCACGCUCUUGACCUCGGAUCAGGUAGGGAUACCCGCUGAACUUAAGC
rnacentral:misc_RNA from 1 species